UCCAUAUGGUCCAUCCUCCUGUCUCAAAAGUGCUGUAAUUUUCUUCAACCACCGGAAAUUUGACUCAGGAGAGGAAUGCAGGACCCGUAGCCAGUUAUAAUACACAACUUCUAUCAGCAGCAACCCAGUCAGACCAUGGCUGGCUUCAGACAAGAGGAUGUGGAGGCGUUCUAUGAUAUGGGGGAGGAGCUGGGGAGUGGACAAUUCGCCAUCGUACGGAAGUGUAAAGACAAGAGUUCUGGCUCGGAGUACGCCGCCAAGUUAAUCAAGAAGCGUCGCCUGUCGUCCAGCCGCCGGGCGUGAGCCGCGAGGAGAU